CCGCGGUAAUACGAAGGGGGCUAGCGUUGUUCGGAUUUACUGGGCGUAAAGCGUGCGUAGACGGUUGCGUAAGUCAGAUGUGAAAGCCCCGGGCUCAACCUGGGAAUUGCAUUUGAGACUGCGUAGCUAGGGUACGGAAGAGGGAAGCGGAAUUUCCGGUGUAGCGGUGAAAUGCGUAGAUAUCGGAAGGAACACCAGUGGCGAAAGCGGCUUCCUGGUCCAGUACCGACGUUCAGGCACGAAAGCGUGGGGAGCAAACAGG
rnacentral:rRNA from 1 species